rnacentral:rRNA from 1 species
GAUGAACGCUGGCGGCGUGCCUAAUACAUGCAAGUCGAGCGAACAGAUGAGGAGCUUGCUCCUCUGACGUUAGCGGCGGACGGGUGAGUAACACGUGGAUAACCUACCUAUAAGACUGGGAUAACUUCGGGAAACCGGAGCUAAUACCGGAUAAUAUAUUGAACCGCAUGGUUCAAUAGUGAAAGACGGUUUUGCUGUCACUUAUAGAUGGAUCCGCGCCGCAUUAGCUAGUUGGUAAGGUAACGGCUUACCAAGGCAACGAUGCGUAGCCGACCUGAGAGGGUGAUCGGCCACACUGGAACUGAGUCACGGUCCAGACUCCUACGGGAGGCAGCAGUAGGGAAUCUUCCGCAAUGGGCGAAAGCUUGACGGAGCAACGCCGCGUGAGUGAUGAAGGUCUUCGGAUCGUAAAACUCUGUUAUUAGGGAAGAACAAAUGUGUAAGUAACUAUGCACGUCUUGACGGUACCUAAUCAGAAAGCCACGGCUAACUACGUG